UGUAUGUACCGGCCGUGAUUGCCAGAACGGAGCCUGUGUAGCAGACGAGACCAGAUUGCAAGGUUACACGUGUAACUGCACGGCUGGUUAUGCCGGGGACAAUUGUCAAGUUGCUGUAUGUGACAACCAUGAUUGUCAGAAUGGGACUUGUGUGGCCCACCAAUCCAGGAUAAGAGGAUACACGUGUAACUGUACCAUUGGCUUUGUCGGGGACAAUUGUCAAGUUGCUGUAUGUGACAACCAUGAUUGUCAGAAUGGGACUUGUGUGGCGGACCAAUCUAGGAUAAGAGGAUACACGUGUAACUGUACCAGUGGCUUUGUCGGGAAAGAUU